CGACCGGAUGGACGAUGUCGAGUCUGACGGAGCACGCCGCGUGAGUGAUGAAGGUUUUCGGAUCGUAAAGCUCUGUUGUUAGGGAAGAACAAGUGCAAGAGUAACUGCUUGCACCUUGACGGUACCUAACCAGAAAGCCACGGCUAACUACGUGCCAGCAGCCGCGGUAAUACGUAGGUGGCAAGCGUUGUCCGGAAUUAUUGGGCGUAAAGGGCUCGCAGGCGGUUUCUUAAGUCUGAUGUGAAAGCCCCCGGCUCAACCGGGGAGGGUCAUUGGAAACUGGGAAACUUGAGUGCAGAAGAGGAGAGUGGAAUUCCACGUGUAGCGGUGAAAUGCGUAGAGAUGUGGAGGAACACCAGUGGCGAAGGCGACUCUCUGGUCUGUAACUGACGCUGAGGAGCGAAAGCGUGGGGAGCGAACAGGAUUAGAUACCCCGGUAGUCA
rnacentral:rRNA from 1 species